GAGUUCAAACAGUCAAAAAGAUGGAAAAUUUUCCUGUGGCUUUAUUUUAUUUCCUUCAUUCAGUUUCCAAGCCCACAGGCUGAGCUUCCUUGCAGAACAAGAUUAAACCCCUAAAUCACUCACGGACUUCAACUGCUGAUUGAAACGUUCUGACCAGAAGUGGGCUCCUAUUGGGGACCAUAUGGAGUGAAGGGAGGAAAGAAACAGGCUACCAAAAACAACUCAGAUGUGUUUCGUAUGGUGCCUACCAAUCUUACCAAAUAGGUCACUUGUAUAGCAUUUCCUGAAAGGAAUGUCCACAUGGGUAAGGGUGACCAGAUAGCAAGUGUGAAAAUCGGGACAGAGGGUGGGGGUAAUAGGAGCCUAUAUAAGAAAAAGCCCCAAAUAUCGGGACAUCUGGUCACCCUAGUAAUGACAUGAAACCCCAAGCUGAUAUUAUAACUGAAAAUGUCAAGGCUUUAUUUUGCAACAGAUAUCUUACAAAGAAAAUAUUUACUUUUACUGAUAUUUAUGGAUGUGCAAUGCAUCAGAGUUUUUUUAUGGUGUCUCCUUCUCAUUUAGUCAUUUGUUCCUGGUCUUCAACUCAGAGGUAAAGAUGCUAGCUUGAAAUGCAUGUAUAUUUAACACAGAGACAGAUACUAUAAUCAUCACGUUCAAGACCUUAAAAUGGCUUCCAAAUUUGUGGGUGCAGUUUUGCACUCACUAUUAAUUACUCACAUAAAGUGGAGGUCAGGUUGA